GCAUCGUACGGUCCAACGUGGGUACACCCAUCAUAGCAUAUGUGCUCCAAACACUCCAUCGCCUCGCUCAGCUCCGCGUAUAGCCCCUGCUCCAUCCUAUACUUCCUCGAUUUCUUUUUCCUCUGUCAAACAAACAAUCCCGUUUAAUACUUUAAUUGUAAUUAAUUUCAUUCAAUUUAAUUGACGCAACACUGCCUUUACAUGCGUCAAAAUAUUUCAUUUGGCGGAUUGGAAGAAUCAUGUUUGAUUCUAUCAUCUGAAAAAUUCUUUUGAUAUGUACAAUCAUAUUGACGCCAGUAAGAUUAGUCUCUAAUAAAGAGAAUCAAGAGAGAGUCAUGCUCUCUAACCCAUGAAAGAAAAACAAAUUUCAUUUCGAUUUGAAAAUGGAUUAAUAGAUUAAUUACGGUUUCGUGUUCGUCGAUGAAGCGGAGAAUGUCGAGUUCGAGCCAGGGGUCGUGUUUGACGAGGAACUUCCACCCCUCCGUUGCUUCCACCGCUUUGAAAUUGUUGGCGAGGAGCUUCAUGCAGCGAAGAUGGAGAUCCGGCGCGUCACAGAGACGC
rnacentral:lncRNA from 1 species